GAUGAACGCUGGCGGCGUGCCUAAUACAUGCAAGUCGAGCGAACGGACGAGAAGCUUGCUUUUCUGAUGUUAGCGGCGGACGGGUGAGUAACACGUGGAUAACCUACCUAUAAGACUGGGAUAACUUCGGGAAACCGGGGCUAAUACCGGAUAAUAUUUUGAACCGCAUGGUUCAAAAGUGAAAGACGGUCUUGCUGUCACUUAUAGAUGGAUCCGCGCUGCAUUAGCUAGUUGGUAAGGUAACGGCUUACCAAGGCAACGAUGCAUAGCCGACCUGAGAGGGUGAUCGGCCACACUGGAACUGAGACACGGUCCAGACUCCUACGGGAGGCAGCAGUAGGGAAUCUUCCGCAAUGGGCGAAAGCCUGACGGAGCAACGCCGCGUGAGUGAUGAAGGUCUUCGGAUCGUAAAACUCUGUUAUUAGGGAAGAACAUAUGUGUAAGUAACUGUGCACAUCUUGACGGUACCUAAUCAGAAAGCCACGGCUAACUACGUA
rnacentral:rRNA from 1 species